UCCAGGCCCUACGGGGCGCAGCAGGCGCGAAACCUCCGCAAUGCGGGAAACCGCGACGGGGGGACCCCGAGUGCCGUGGCAACGCCACGGCUUUUCCGGAGUGUAAAAAGCUCCGGGAAUAAGGGCUGGGCAAGGCCGGUGGCAGCCGCCGCGGUAAUACCGGCGGCCCGAGUGGUGGCCGCUAUUGUUGGGCCUAAAGCGUCCGUAGCCGGGCCCGUAAGUCCCUGGCGAAAUCCCACGGCUCAACCGUGGGGCUUGCUGGGGAUACUGCGGGUCUUGGGACCGGGAGAGGCGGGGGGUACCCCUGGGGUAGGGGUGAAAUCCUAUAAUCCCAGGGGGACCGCCAGUGGCGAAGGCGCCCCGCUGGAACGGGUCCGACGGUGAGGGACGAAGGCCAGGGGAGCAAACCGGAUUAGAUACCCGGGUAGUCCUGGCUGUAAAGGAUGCGGGCUAGGUGUCGGGUGAGCCUCGAGCUCGCCCGGUGCCGUAGGGAAGCCGUUAAGCCCGCCGCCUGGGGAGUACGGCCGCAAGGCUGAAACUUAAAGGAAUUGGCGGGGGAGCACUACAAGGGGUGGAGCGUGCGGUUUAAUUGGAUUCAACGCCGGA
rnacentral:rRNA from 1 species